GUCACUGAUGAAAACCACUGCAAUAGGAAGUGCCGUCUGAUGCGAGAACUGACGAUUGCAACGCUCCUGAGA